rnacentral:rRNA from 1 species
CCCAGACUCCUACGGGAGGCAGCAGUGGGGGAUAUUGCACAAUGGGGGAAACCCUGAUGCAGCGACGCCGCGUGAGUGAAGAAGUAUUUCGGUAUGUAAAGCUCUAUCAGCAGGGAAGAAAAAAGACGGUACCUGACUAAGAAGCCCCGGCUAACUACGUGCCAGCAGCCGCGGUAAUACGUAGGGGGCAAGCGUUAUCCGGAUUUACUGGGUGUAAAGGGAGCGUAGACGGCAAUACAAGUCGGAAGUGAAAUACCCGGGCUUAACCUGGGAACUGCUUUGGAAACUGUAUGGCUGGAGUGCUGGAGAGGUAAGCGGAAUUCCUAGUGUAGCGGUGAAAUGCGUAGAUAUUAGGAGGAACACCAGUGGCGAAGGCGGCUUACUGGACAGUAACUGACGUUGAGGCUCGAAAGCGUGGGGAGCAAACAGGAUUAGAUACCCGGGUAC